rnacentral:rRNA from 1 species
UACCAGCCCCCUGAGUGGUAAGGACGAUUAUUUGGCCUAAAGCGUCCGUAGCCGGCUUAUCAAGUCUUUUGUUAAAUCCAACGAUUCAACCGUUGGGCCGCAAAAGAUACUGUUAUGCUAGAGGACGGGAGAGGUCGACGGUAUUCCAGGGGUAGGGGUGAAAUCCUAUAAUCCUUGGAGGACCACCAGUGGCGAAGGCGGUCGACUAGAACGUGCCUGACGGUGAGGGACGAAAGCUGGGGGAGCGAACCGGAUUAGAUACCCGGGUAGUCCCAGCUGUAAACGAUGCGGGCUAGGUGUUGGGGUAGCCACGAGCUGCUCCAGUGCCGCAGAGAAGUUGUUAAGCCCGCCGCCUGGGGAGUACGGCCGCAAGGCUGAAACUUAAAGGAAUUGGCGGGGGAGCACCACAAGGGGUGAAGGCUGCGGUUU